AAGAGAUAUGAUGAUGUUUAUCCAUAUAUAUUCUGCAAUUCAAAUGAUGCUCAGAAACAUGCACUAUCAUCUAAUCUCUA